AUUGAACGCUGGCGGCAUGUUUUACACAUGCAAGUCGAACGGUAACAGGGAGCUUGCUCCGCUGACGAGUGGCGGACGGGUGAGUAAUGCCUAGGAAUCUGCCUAUUAGUGGGGGAUAACGUUCCGAAAGGAACGCUAAUACCGCAUACGUCCUACGAGAGAAAGUGGGGGAUCUUCGGACCUCACGCUAAUAGAUUAGCCUAGGUCGGAUUAGCUAGUUGGGGGGGUAACGGCUCACCAGGGCGACGAUCCGUAGCUGGUCUGAGAGGAUGAUCAGCCACACUGGAACUGAGACACGGUCCAGACUCCUACGGGAGGCAGCAGUGGGGAAUAUUGGACAAUGGGCGAAAGCCUGAUCCAGCCAUGCCGCGUGUGUGAAGAAGGUCUUCGGAUUGUAAAGCACUUUAAGUUGGGAGGAAGGGUUGUAAGCUAAUAUCUUGCAGCUUUGACGUUACCAACCGAAUAAGCACCGGCUAACUCUGUGCCAGCCGCCGCCGUAAGAC
rnacentral:rRNA from 1 species